rnacentral:rRNA from 1 species
GGGAAGAGCUCAAAUUUAAAAUCUGGCAGUCUUCGAUUGUCCGAGUUGUAAUCUAUAGAGGCGUUUUCCGUGCCGGACCGUGUCCAAGUCUCCUGGAAAGGAGUAUCAAAGAGGGCGAUAAUCCCGUACUUAACACGACCACCGGUGCUCUGUGAUACGUCUUCUACGAGUCGAGUUGUUUGGGAAUGCAGCUCAAAAUGGGUGGUGAAUUCCAUCUAAAGCUAAAUAUUGGCGAGAGACCGAUAGCGAACAAGUACCGUGAGGGAAAGAUGAAAAGCACUUUGGAAAGAGAGUUAAACAGUACGUGAAAUUGUUGAAAGGGAAACGAUUGAAGUCAGUCGUGUUCUUUGGAUUCAGCCAGUUCUGCUGGUCUACUUCCUUUGAACGGGUCAACAUCAGUUUUGUCCGGUGGAUAAAGGUAGUAGGAAUGUGACUUCUCCGGAAGUGUUAUAGCCUAUUAUCACAUACACUGGGUGAGACUGAGGACUGCAGCUCGCCUUUAUGGCCGACCUUCGGGUACGUUCGAGCUUAGGAUGUUGACAUAAUGGCUUUAAACGACCCGUCUUGAAACACGGACC